CAAUGAGAUUUUAAGCUCAAAGAAGAGAUGGCAUAAACGCCAUAAGUAAACUUGCUGCUUCGCAGUAAGCAAGCUUGUGGUGCAAGCACCAUAAUAACGCUAGCUCCUUUUAACUAUUAAAAGGAUGAAGGUAUAGUCUAAUCCUCAAAGUAAUUUGAGA
rnacentral:autocatalytically_spliced_intron from 1 species